UCAAGAAACUUCCACAAUCGGCGAAAGCCUGAUGGAGCGACGUCGCGUGAUGGACGAAGUGCUUCGGCACGUAAACAUCUUUUAUGUGGGAUGAAAUUAUUGACAGUACCACAUGAAUAAGGGGCUCCUAACUCUGUGCCAGCAGGAGCGGUAAUACAGAGGCCCCAAGCGUUAUCCGGAAUCACUGGGCGUAAAGGGUGUCGAGGCGGUUGUAUUAGUCGUUCGUAAAAUCUACGAGCUUAACUUGUAGGCGGCGAACGAAACGGUACGACUUGAGGUUUGGAGAGGUGCGUGGAACUCACGGUGUAGGGGUGAAAUCCGUUGAUAUCGUGGGGAACACCAAAGGCGAAGGCAGCGCACUGGCCAAAAUCUGACGCUCACACACGAAAGCUAGGGUAGCGAAGAGGAUUAGAUACCCUAGUAGUCCCUGAGCGGGCUGGCAAGGCGCAU
rnacentral:rRNA from 1 species